UACGUAGGGUGCAAGCGUUGUCCGGAAUUAUUGGGCGUAAAGAGCUCGUAGGCGGUUUGUCGCGUCUGCUGUGAAAUCCCGAGGCUCAACCUCGGGUCUGCAGUGGGUACGGGCAGACUAGAGUGCGGUAGGGGAGAUUGGAAUUCCUGGUGUAGCGGUGGAAUGCGCAGAUAUCAGGAGGAACACCGAUGGCGAAGGCAGAUCUCUGGGGCCGUAACUGACGCUGAGGAGCGAAAGCAUGGGGAGCGAACAGG
rnacentral:rRNA from 1 species